rnacentral:rRNA from 1 species
UCUGGUGUCCUAGGCGUAGAGGAACCACACCAAUCCAUCCCGAAUUUGGUGGUUAAACUCUACUGCGGUGACGAUACUGUAGGGGAGGUCCUGCGGCAAAAUAGCUCGAUCCCAGAA